rnacentral:rRNA from 1 species
UACGUAGGUGGCAAGCGUUGUCCGGAUUUAUUGGGCGUAAAGGGAGCGCAGGCGGUGACUUAAGUCUGAUGUGAAAGCCCACGGCUCAACCGUGGAAGGUCAUUGGAAACUGGUCGACUUGAGUGCAGAAGAGGGAAGUGGAAUUCCAUGUGUAGCGGUGAAAUGCGUAGAGAUAUGGAGGAACACCAGUGGCGAAGGCGGCUUCCUGGUCUGUAACUGACACUGAGGCGCGAAAGCGUGGGGAGCAAACAGGAUUAGAUACCCCA